GACGAACGCUGGCGGCGUGCUUAACACAUGCAAGUCGAACGGAGUGGCGAACGGGUGAGUAACACGCGGGUGACCUGCCCUGCACUUCGGGAUAAGCCUGGGAAACUGGGUCUAAUACCGGAUAGUGUGGGAUGGGCCCGCGGCCUAUCAGCUUGUGGGUGGGGUAAUGGCCUACCAAGGCGGCGACGGGUAGCCGGCCUGGGAGGGUGGACGGCCACAUAGGGACUGCGGCACGGCCCAGAGGCCUACGGGCGGCAGCAGUGAAGAAUAUUGCACGAAGGGCGGAGGCCGGGAGCAGCGACGCCGGGUGGGGGAUGACGGUCUACGGGGUGUAAACGCCUUUCACCAUCGACGCGGUAGAUGGAGAAGAAGCACCGGCUAACUACGUGCCAGCAGCCGCGGUAAUAC
rnacentral:rRNA from 1 species